rnacentral:rRNA from 1 species
CCUACGGGAGGCAGCAGUGAGGAAUAUUGGUCAAUGGGCGCGAGCCUGAACCAGCCAAGUAGCGUGAAGGAUGACUGCCCUACGGGUUGUAAACUUCUUUUAUAAAGGAAUAAAGUGAGGCACGUGUGCCUUUUUGCAUGUACUUUAUGAAUAAGGAUCGGCUAACUCCGUGCCAGCAGCCGCGGUAAUACGGAGGAUCCGAGCGUUAUCCGGAUUUAUUGUGUUUAAAGGGAGCGUAGAUGGGAUGUUAAGUCAGUUGUGAAAGUUUGCGGCUCAACCUUAAAAUUGCAAUUGAUACUGGAAGUCUUGAGUACAGUUGAGGUAGGCGGAAUGCGUGGUGUAGCGGUGAAAUGCUUAGAUAUCACGAAGAACCCCGAUUGCGAAGGCAGCUUACUAAACUGUGACUGACAUUGAUGCUCGAAAGUGUGGGUAUCAAACAGGAUUAGAUACCCGGGUAGUC